UGGGGAAGUACUUGUCGCAAUAGGGCGGAAAGANCCUGACGCAGCCAUGCCGCGUGAAUGAUGAAGGUCUUAGGAUUGUAAAAUUCUUUCACCGGGGACGAUAAUGACGGUACCCGGAGAAGAAGCCCCGGCUAACUUCGUGCCAGCAGCCGCGGUAAUACGAAGGGGCUAGCGUUGCUCGGAAUUACUGGGCGUAAAGGGAGCGUAGGCGGACAUUUAAGUCAGGGGUGAAAUCCCAGAGCUCAACUCUGGAACUGCCUUUGAUACUGGGUGUCUUGAGUGUGAGAGAGGUAUGUGGAACUCCGAGUGUAGAGGUGAAAUUCGUAGAUAUUCGGAAGAACACCAGUGGCGAAGGCGACAUACUGGCUCAUUACUGACGCUGAGGCUCGAAAGCUGGGGAGC
rnacentral:rRNA from 1 species